AAACAAUGCGUGUGGAAGGCAGGAGUCCUGCUGAGUGAGGCUGCUCGGGACACAAAGACGCUGUGCAGGACAUAUUAGCCUAAGAUAAGAGUUAUUUAAGCAUCUUGACUCCGACAAAAGGACAUAGGACGAAUGCGUUUAACUCGUGAUUUGAUGUUUCCGAGGACAAACGGAUGGAUGUGUCGCUGGGAGGCUGAGCUUGUGUGAAAGCAUGUGCGGAGUGAGGAAGCCGGGACACUGUGUCAUGUGAUUAAGCUAUUAGAGACAGGUUGGGUCUCCUUAAAUAACCUGGAUUUAAGCCUUCCAUGGUGCCAUUGAGAAGAAAAGAGGCAUGGAAAGCUGCCCUCUUGAACCACAACAAAUCACGUUAAAUUAAGACGUUAAAUUCACUUCAAACUUCCGGUAGCCAUCUUUGAUGUUUGACUGCCCCCUGCUGGGAAACCCUGUACAUAAACUCAAGCUACGUCACAUCCGGGUAGAGUGUGUGUGCCGUACAGCGGAGUUAACAGACAUGGCGACUGAAAACACGUGUCCAGCGUCCCGCAUUAAGACGGAAAGGUGGAUGUCAGAAAGGAAAAUGCUGUCGCUUAACGGCUGAUGGCACCAUGUGAGCUGUGUUUUGACCUUAGCCAGAGGUGCUGAUUAAGGCGACCGGAGUCCAGUAAUAAUGCAGAAGCAGCAGCUGCCACCUUCAAUAGCGUGAACGGUCACAAGUUGGAACCAUGGAGGAAAUGGAAAUGGAAGGUUUUGCUUCUGAGUGCGGAGCUGAUGUCUUGAUGGAUGUCAAAUGAUUGUCAGUUCUUCCAGACACAGUUGAGGUGCAAAAACACUCAGUUUCACCAGAGUUUCUGUGCAGAUUUCAAGUUGGGAGUAGAAGAAUCGAUUCAUGAUACAAAACAUGUUCAUUUUUAUGUAAUGUUUUGAAUUUGUUAUUAAAAAAAAAAAGGUGAAAAUA